UACGUAGGGUGCAAGCGUUAAUCGGAAUUACUGGGCGUAAAGCGUGCGCAGGCGGUUUUGUAAGUCUGUCGUGAAAGCCCCGGGCUCAACCUGGGAAUUGCGAUGGAGACUGCAAGGCUAGAGUGUGUCAGAGGGGGGUAGAAUUCCACGUGUAGCAGUGAAAUGCGUAGAUAUGUGGAGGAACACCGAUGGCGAAGGCAGCCUCCUGGGCUAGUACUGACGCUCAUGCACGAAAAGCGUGGGGAGCAAACAGG
rnacentral:rRNA from 1 species